rnacentral:rRNA from 1 species
AUACGGAGGAUCCGAGCGUUAUCCGGAUUUAUUGGGUUUAAAGGGUGCGUAGGCGGUUUGCUAAGCGGGAGGUGAAAUGCCGGCGCUCAACGUCGGAAGUGCCUCCCGAACUGGUGGACUGGAAUGACUCUGCCGUGGGAGGAAUGUGUAGUGUAGCGGUGAAAUGCUUAGAGAUUACACAGAACACCGAUUGCGAAGGCAUCUCACGAAGGGUUGAUUGACGCUGAGGCACGAAAGCGUGGGGAUCAAACAGGAUUAGAUACCCUGGUAGUCCACGCAGUAAACGAUGAUGGCUAACCGCUGGUUUUUUCGGAUCAGUGGCCAAGCGAAAGCGAUAAGCCAUCCACCUGGGGAGUACGACCGCAAGGUUGAAACUCAAAGGAAUUGACGGGG